CAGGUGCAGCCAAGCCCCCGCCGCCGCAGCGGCCGCUGCCCUCGGACCCGCCGGGCCCGUCGCUGCCCCGCGGGGAGAGCCCCGCCCGGCACCCCUAUGUCACCGUGAUCCCCGCCAGGCCCGCCCCGGCCCCGCCACAGGCCUGAGCGGCGGGCAGCGAGUGCGCAGCGCUGGAUCCGCGGGGGAGGCCGGGCCCCGCCGCCCGCUUUUUCUCCCGCCACCUCAAUAAAGGGGCUGUGAGCCGCCUGUG